UCAUGGCUCAGAUUGAACGCUGGCGGCAGGCCUAACACAUGCAAGUCGAGCGGUAGAGAGAAGCUUGCUUCUCUUGAGAGCGGCGGACGGGUGAGUAAUGCCUAGGAAUCUGCCUGGUAGUGGGGGAUAACGUUCGGAAACGGACGCUAAUACCGCAUACGUCCUACGGGAGAAAGCAGGGGACCUUCGGGCCUUGCGCUAUCAGAUGAGCCUAGGUCGGAUUAGCUAGUUGGUGGGGUAAUGGCUCACCAAGGCGACGAUCCGUAACUGGUCUGAGAGGAUGAUCAGUCACACUGGAACUGAGACACGGUCCAGACUCCUACGGGAGGCAGCAGUGGGGAAUAUUGGACAAUGGGCGAAAGCCUGAUCCAGCCAUGCCGCGUGUGUGAAGAAGGUCUUCGGAUUGUAAAGCACUUUAAGUUGGGAGGAAGGGUUGUAGAUUAAUACUCUGCAAUUUUGACGUUACCGACAGAAUAAGCACCGGCUAACUCUGUGCCAGCAGCCGCGGUAAUACAGAGGGUGCAAGCGUUAAUCGGAAUUACUGGGCGUAAAGCGCGCGUAGGUGGUUUGUUAAGUUGGAUGUGAAAUCCCCGGGCUCAACCUGGGAACUGCAUUCAAAACUGACUGACUAGAGUAUGGUAGAGGGUGGUGGAAUUUCCUGUGUAGCGGUGAAAUGCGUAGAUAUAGGAAGGAACACCAGUGGCGAAGGCG
rnacentral:rRNA from 1 species